GAGCAGCUCGGUAGCUCGUCGGGCUCAUAACCCGAAGGUCGUCGGUUCAAAUCCGGCCCCCGCAACCA
rnacentral:tRNA from 2 species